UAAAGGAAAGUUUUGCAGCAGCACCAGCAGAGUACAUAAACUAAAGCAUAAAGUUUGAUCUGUAUUUGGGAGAUCAUUCUGGAGGAUGAAAUCAAGAGCACAAAAGAAUAAAGAGGUUGUAGGGUAAAGGACUGUGAUGAGAAGAGUGAAAUAUAACAAGCCUAACAGAUCCUCCGCCUCAUACUUCAGAUAACACCAGACACUCU
rnacentral:lncRNA from 1 species